GGUGCUUUAAUGAGGACACCACAAAUCAGAAGGACUAACUCAUAUUUUUCAGUUUUGUUUUUGCAGUGCUAAGGAUGGAAACCAGGGACUCACACAUGUUAGAUAGCAGAACUAUGAAGCAGAAGAUCAUGGACUAUCUAGGAUAACAUAGCUAAGAACUGGGAGAGGUAUCCUGGAAAGCUGGCUGUCCUGCACACAGAGUUCACAUUCCUAAACAUCAUAUUAUUGUACAGAAGAAUUCUUCCGAGGUUUAACAUGAAGAGAAAGAAUAGAGUUAUAUGGAAAUACAGAACAGAAGAACCAAUGGAUAAUUUUUCAUAUUGCAAAGUCACCGCGUCCCAUGCUGAUCACAGUUGCCAGGGCCUGCAAGGAUUACCCUGAAUCCAGGACAAGGAUUCCGCACCUGCUGGACCCCAAAGGACAAGGUGUGGUUCUGAUUGGAUGACGAUUGGAUGACGUUCUCCUCUAUGCCUAGUAAGGGAAGGCCACGCCCUUCAUUCUUCCCCUGAGACCUGGCUUAGGAAACGCUGCCCCUCAGGCUGACCUCCCUGAAAGUCUUUCGGGCUGGUAUGCAGAGGGCUAUUCUCUUGCCAGCCAAACUGGAUAUGUUCUAGAGUUUAUACCGUUUCCGUCUCUGGAGGAGUCCCAAACAAAACCCAAGCCAACCAAAUAUAACGCAGCGAAGUGUCCCGCCAACCAAAAGGAUGCUGGCUCCUCCCCGGGUUGGAAGACAGAACAGCCUUGUCUGAAAGGUUUUCACCUUCAACCUGGACACCUAGGCAUUAUCAUCCUUUCACCGAAUGAAUGUUAACGGACGAAGAGAAAACACUGCUUUUAAGCCUGGACUGUAAAAUAUACAGCUCUUUCCUUGCCCCCGGAUGAACUCACGUUCGCCUUAGAGUUUUGUUCAGUUGCAUUUAGACAAUAAAGAGCUGAAAUAAAACUCGA